AGAGGGGUGCGAGCGUUAAUCGGGAAUUACUGGGGCGUAAAGGGUGCGUAGGUCGUUAAUCUUGUGGGCUGUGAAAUACCUGGGGCUUAACCUAGGGCAGGGUCAGCCCAAACAGAUUGACUAGAGUUCAGGAGAGGUUAGUGGAAUUUCCGGUGUAGCGGUGAAAUGCGUAGAGAUCGGAAGGAACACCAGUGGCGAAGGCGACUAUCUGGCCUGAUACUGACACUGAAGUACGAAAGCGUGGGGAGCGAACAGGAUUAGAUACCCUGGUAGUCCACGCUGUAAACGAUGACAACUAGCCGUUGGAUCUGUUUCAGAUUCAGUGGCGCAGCUAACGCAUUAAGUUGUCCGCCUGGGGAGUACGGCCGCAAAGGCUAA
rnacentral:rRNA from 1 species